rnacentral:rRNA from 1 species
AGAGUUUGAUCCUGGCUCAGGACAAACGCUGGCGGGGUGCGUGAGACAUGCAAGUCGAACGAGGUGCCAUCGGGCUUGCUCGAUGGUUACCUAGUGGCGGACGGCUGAGUAACGCGUAGGUGACCUACCCGGAAGUGGGGAAUAACUGCCCGAAAGGGUGGCUAAUACCGCAUACGGUCGGCGAUUCAUUUCGCCGUCCAAAGGAGCAAUUCGCUUCCGGAGGGGCCUGCGUCCGAUUAGCUAGUUGGUGGGGUAACGGCUCACCAAGGCGACGAUCGGUAGCUGGUCUGAGAGGAUGAUCAGCCAGACCGGGACUGAGAACGGCCCAGACUCCUACGGGAGGCAGCAGUCGGGAAUUUUGCCCAAUGGACGAAAGUCUGAGGCAGCAACUCCGCGUGAGGGACGAAGGCUCUCGGGUCGUAAACCUCUUUUCUCAGGGAAGAUCCAAGACGGUACCUGAGGAAUAAGCCACGGCUAACUACGUGCCAGCAGCCGCGGUAAUACGUAGGUGGCAAGCGUUGUCCGGAUUUACUGGGCGUAAAGAGCGCGCAGGCGGCUGAUUAAGUCUGAUGUGAAAUCUCUCGGCUCAACCGGGAAACUGCAUCGGAAACUGAUCGGCUUGAAGGUGGGAGAGGGUAGUGGAAUUCCCGGUGUAGUGGUGAAAUGCGUAGAUAUCGGGAGGAACACCAGUGGCGAAGGCGACUACCUGGCCCAUUCUUGACGCUGAGGCGCGAAAGCUAGGGGAGCGAACGGGAUUAGAUACCCCGGUAGUCC